CCCUGUCUAUGGCACUGGUAGAAUUCACUGUUCCCGCUGACCUCAGUGAAUUACUAGAGGCCAUAAACAGAG
ncrna:Petromyzon marinus (sea lamprey) microRNA pma-mir-183 precursor